rnacentral:rRNA from 1 species
GGAUCAAUUUGCUGGUCGUGCCUCUGGUACGUACUGGUAUUAUUGGUUUCUCCCUUCUGACGAACCAUGAUGCCAUUAAUUUGGUGUUGCGGGGAAUUUGGACUGUUACUUUGAAAAAAUUAGAGUGUUUAAAGCAAGCUAACGCUUGAAUACAUUAGCAUGGAAUAAUGAAAUAGGACGUUCGAUCCUAUUUUGUUGGUUUUAGGAUCAACGUA